GGCACUAUGGCCGAGCGGUCUAAGGCGCCGUCUUCAGGUUCUCCUUCUAGAGAUCAUGAUUUGGCGGUCCGAAAGGGCGUGGGUUCGAAUCCCACUGGUGUCA